AUUGAACGCUGGCGGCAUGCCUUACACAUGCAAGUCGAACGGCAGCACGGGUGCUUGCCCCUGGUGGCGAGUGGCGAACGGGUGAGUAAUACAUCGGAACAUGUCCUGUAGUGGGGGAUAGCCCGGCGAAAGACGGAUUAAUACCGCAUACGAUCUACGGAUGAAAGCGGGGGACCUUCGGGCCUCGCGCUAUAGGGUUGGCCGAUGGCUGAUUAGCUAGUUGGUGGGGUAAAGGCUUACCAAGGCGACGAUCAGUAGCUGGUCUGAGAGGACGACCAGCCACACUGGAACUGAGACACGGCCCAGACUCCUACGGGAGGCAGCAGUGGGGAAUUUUGGACAAUGGGCGAAAGCCUGAUCCAGCAAUGCCGCGUGUGUGAAGAAGGCCUUCGGGUUGUAAAGCACUUUUGUCCGGAAAGAAAUCCUUGGCCCUAAUACGGUCGGGGGAUGACGGUACCGGAAGAAUAAGCACCGGCUAACUACGUG
rnacentral:rRNA from 1 species